UGAUGGCUCAGUUGGUAGAGUACGAGACUCUUAAUCUCAGGGUCGUGGGUUCGAGCCCCACCUUGGGCAAAA